AAGUCGUAACAAGGUUUCCGUAGGUGAACCCGCGGAAGGAUCAUUAAAUUCCGGUCGAAUCUUCGGCUUGACGCUCGCCGCGAGGCGGGGUCUGCACCCUCUGUCUACAUGUACCUCUUGUUGUUUCCUCGGCAGGCUCGCCUGCCGCCAGGAAUACCUUAAACCCUUGUAUCUAAAGUAUCAUAAAACUCCGAUAACUAUUUAAUUAUCACAA
rnacentral:misc_RNA from 1 species